GGAUUGUGGCUCAGUGGUACAGUGCCUGCCUAGCAUGUGUGAGGCACUGAGUUCAAUUCUCAGCACCA
rnacentral:tRNA from 1 species